GGGUUGUGAGGUUAAGCGACUAAGCGUACACGGUGGAUGCCCUGGCAGUCAGAGGCGAUGAAGGACGUGCUAAUCUGCGAUAAGCGCCGGUAAGGUGAUAUGAACCGUUAUAACCGGCGAUUUCCGAAUGGGGAAACCCAGUGUGACUCGUCACACUAUCAUUAACUGAAUCCAUAGGUUAAUGAGGCGAACCGGGGGAACUGAAACAUCUAAGUACCCCGAGGAAAAGAAAUCAACCGAGAUUCCCCCAGUAGCGGCGAGCGAACGGGGAGGAGCCCAGAGCCUGAAUCAGCAUGUGUGUUAGUGGAAGCGUCUGGAAAGGCGCGCGAUACAGGGUGACAGCCCCGUACACAAAAGCGCAUGUGCUGUGAGCUCGAUGAGUAGGGCGGGACACGUGGUAUCCUGUCUGAAUAUGGGGGGACCAUCCUCCAAGGCUAAAUACUCCUGACUGACCGAUAGUGAACCAGUACCGUGAGGGAAAGGCGAAAAGAACCCCGGCGAGGGGAGUGAAAAAGAACCUGAAACCGUGUACGUACAAGCAGUGGGAGCACAGGUUUACCUGUGUGACUGCGUACCUUUUGUAUAAUGGGUCAGCGACUUAUAUUCUGUAGCAAGGUUAACCGUAUAGGGGAGCCGGAGGGAAACCGAGUCUUAAUUGGGCGUUAAGUUGCAGGGUAUAGACCCGAAACCCGGUGAUCUAGCCAUGGGCAGGUUGAAGGUUGGGUAACACUAACUGGAGGACCGAACCGACUAAUGUUGAAAAAUUAGCGGAUGACCUGUGGCUGGGGGUGAAAGGCCAAUCAAACCGGGAGAUAGCUGGUUCUCCCCGAAAGCUAUUUAGGUAGCGCCUCGUGAAUUCAUCUCCGGGGGUAGAGCACUGUUUCGGCUAGGGGGCCAUCCCGGCUUACCAACCCGAUGCAAACUGCGAAUACCGGAGAAUGUUAUCACGGGAGACACACGGCGGGUGCUAACGUCCGUCGUGAAGAGGGAAACAACCCAGACCGCCAGCUAAGGUCCCAAAGUCAUGGUUAAGUGGGAAACGAUGUGGGAAGGCCCAGACAGCCAGGAUGUUGGCUUAGAAGCAGCCAUCAUUUAAAGAAAGCGUAAUAGCUCACUGGUCGAGUCGGCCUGCGCGGAAGAUGUAACGGGGCUAAACCAUGCACCGAAGCUGCGGCAGCGA
rnacentral:rRNA from 3 species